rnacentral:rRNA from 1 species
CCUGGCGGCGAUAGCGCGGUGGUCCCACCUGACCCCAUGCCGAACUCAGAAGUGAAACGCCGUAGCGCCGAUGGUAGUGUGGGCUUCCCAUGUGAGAGUAGGGAACUGCCAGGC